rnacentral:rRNA from 1 species
CGGCGGACGGGUGAGUAAUGCCUAGGAAUCUGCCUAGUGGUGGGGGAUAACGUUCGGAAACGGACGCUAAUACCGCAUACGUCCUACGGGAGAAAGCGGGGGAUCUUCGGACCUCGCGCCAUUAGAUGAGCCUAGGUCGGAUUAGCUAGUUGGUGAGGUAAUGGCUCACCAAGGCGACGAUCCGUAACUGGUCUGAGAGGAUGAUCAGCCACACUGGGACUGAGACACGGCCCAGACUCC